rnacentral:rRNA from 1 species
GAUGAACGCUAGCGGCAGGCUUAACACAUGCAAGUCGAACGGACAGACAGAGAGCUUGCUCUCUUGAAGUUAGUGGCGAACGGGUGAGUAACGCGUAAUCAACCUGCCCUUCAGAGGGGGAUAACAACGGGAAACCGUUGCUAAUACCGCGUACGAUUCAUGAACGGCAUCGUUUAUGAAUGAAAGGUGGCCUCUAUGUAUAAGCUAUCGCUGAAGGAGGGGAUUGCGUCUGAUUAGCUAGUUGGAGGGGUAACGGCCCACCAAGGCAAUGAUCAGUAGCCGGUCUGAGAGGAUGAACGGCCACAUUGGGACUGAGACACGGCCCAAACUCCUACGGGAGGCAGCAGUGGGGAAUCUUCCGCAAUGGACGAAAGUCUGACGGAGCAACGCCGCGUGAGUGAUGAAGGUCUUCGGAUUGUAAAGCUCUGUUAAUCGGGACGAAAGAGUUCUGCGUGAAUAAUGCAGAAAAGUGACGGUACCGGAAUAGAAAGCCACGGCUAACUACGUGCCAGCCGCCGCGGUAA